rnacentral:lncRNA from 1 species
CUUAAAGGUACUGACACACAAAAGAAUGUGACUGAAAUACUAAACCUCUCUCUGUCUUUGUUAUCUUCAGUCUGGGUUUGUUAGGUCAAGAAAGGUUUUGCAAGUACGGUGUAUGCUUGUGAAAGAUCCAUCAGGAAAAUCAAAGAGCCUCAUGGAACUCUGGCCGGGUGCUAGCAAUAUCUCUCAUACCCGAAGCCCUUGUGCCUGGCCCACUCACUGAUGAAUCAGCAGAACUGAUCCCUGAUGGUCUCCUCCUCCAGAGAAAGAAGAGGCAGGAUUGGCAACUAAACAGGGUGAAAGGGAAAAAGCCUG